UACGGAGGGUGCAAGCGUUAUCCGGAUUCACUGGGUUUAAAGGGUGCGUAGGAGGGCAGGUAAGUCAGUGGUGAAAUCUCCAAGCUUAACUUGGAACUGCCGUUGAUACUAUCUGUCUUGAAUACCGUGGAGGUGAGCGGAAUAUGUCAUGUAGCGGUGAAAUGCUUAGAUAUGACAUAGAACACCAAUUGCGAAGCCAGCUCGCUACACGAAUAUUGACUCUGAGGCACGAAAGCGUGGGGAGCAAACAGG
rnacentral:rRNA from 1 species